rnacentral:misc_RNA from 1 species
GUACAUUAGUGCUUGCGCACGACAGUAAAUUUCAUUACAUUCGAGUUUGUGUAAAAUCCUCUGCCGGCCGAAGCUAGCAAGAGGCCAGAAGUUCACAAGGGUAUUGGAUGAAAGUCACCCACGUGCACUUGCCGGGGCCAGCACUGAAGGUAACGAUUCACAAUCAAUAAUGAUCCUUCCGCAGGUUCACCUACGGAAA